rnacentral:piRNA from 1 species
UGUAAAUCGGUUAAAAGGUGUGUGUAAU